rnacentral:rRNA from 1 species
UACGAAGGGGGCUAGCGUUGCUCGGAAUCACUGGGCGUAAAGGGUGCGCAGGCGGACUUGUAAGUCAGGGGUGAAAUCUCACAGCUUAACUGUGAAACUGCCUUUGAUACUGCAAGUCUUGGAUCCAGAAGAGAGUUGUGGAAUUCCGAGUGUAGCAGUGAAAUGUGUAGAUAUUCGGAAGAACACCAGUGGCGAAGGCAGCAACUUGGUCUGGUAUCGACGCUCAGGCACGAAAGCAUGGGGAUCAAACAGG